rnacentral:misc_RNA from 1 species
AAGUCGUAACAAGGUUUCCGUAGGUGAACCUGCGGAAGGAUCAUUAUUGAAUAAAAACUUGAGCAGGCUGUUGCUGGUCCUCUUCUGGGCAUGUGCACGCUUGUUCUUUGUUAUUUUCUCCAUCUUGUGCACAUUUUGUAGACCCUGUGGAUUCAUUCCGAGUUGGGACUGCUGUGCUUCCCUUCAUGUGAAGUCGGCUUUCCCUAGGUCUAUGCUCAUUUAAAUCACAAAUACUGUUCAGAAUGUUGGGAUCAGGUCUUUUUUGUACCUAUAAAAAUGAAAUAUACAACUUUCAGCAACGGAUCUCUUGGCUCUC